GAUGAACGCUGGCGGCGUGCCUAAUACAUGCAAGUCGAGCGAACAGACGAGGAGCUUGCUCCUCUGACGUUAGCGGCGGACGGGUCAGUAACACGUGGAUAACCUACCUAUAAGACUGGGAUAACUUCGGGAAACCGGAGCUAAUACCGGAUAAUAUAUUGAACCGCAUGGUUCAAUAGUGAAAGACGGUUUUGCUUUCACUAAUAGAUGAAUCCGCGCCGCAUUAGCUAGUUGGUAGGGUAACGGCUUACCAAGGCGACGAUGCGUAGCCGACCUGAGAGGGUGAUCGGCCACACUGGAACUGAGACACGGUCCAGACUCCUACGGGAGGCAGCAGUAGGGAAUCUUCCGCAAUGGGCGAAAGCCUGACGGAGCAACGCCGCGUGAGUGAUGAAGGUCUUCGGAUCGUAAAACUCUGUUAUUAGGGAAGAACAAAUGUGUAAGUAACUAUGCACGUCUUGACGGUACCUAAUCAGAAAGCCACGGCUAACUACGUG
rnacentral:rRNA from 1 species